GACGAACGCUGGCGGCGUGCCUAAUACAUGCAAGUCGAACGAGAGUGACCGGUGCUUGCACUGGUCAAUCUAGUGGCGAACGGGUGAGUAACACGUGGGUAACCUGCCCAUCAGAGGGGGAUAACAUCCGGAAACGGAUGCUAAAACCGCAUAGGUCUUCGAACCGCAUGGUUUGAAGAGGAAAAGAGGCGCAAGCUUCUGCUGAUGGAUGGACCCGCGGUGCAUUAGCUAGUUGGUGAGGUAACGGCUCACCAAGGCCGUGAUGCAUAGCCGACCUGAGAGGGUGAUCGGCCACAUUGGGACUGAGACACGGCCCAAACUCCUACGGGAGGCAGCAGUAGGGAAUCUUCCGCAAUGGACGCAAGUCUGACGGAGCAACGCCGCGUGAGUGAAGAAGGUUUUCGGAUCGUAAAACUCUGUUGUUAGAGAAGAACAAGUGCUAGAGUAACUGUUAGCGCCUUGACGGUAUCUAACCAGAAAGCCACGGCUAACUACGUG
rnacentral:rRNA from 1 species